ACGGGUGAGUAACACGUGGGUGAUCUGCCCUGCACUUCGGGAUAAGCCUGGGAAACUGGGUCUAAUACCGGAUAUGACCUCCUAUCGCAUGGUGGGUGGUGGAAAGAUUUAUCGGUGCAGGAUGGGCCCGCGGCCUAUCAGCUUGUUGGUGGGGUAAUGGCCUACCAAGGCGACGACGGGUAGCCGACCUGAGAGGGUGACCGGCCACACUGGGACUGAGACACGGCCCAGACUCCUACGGGAGGCAGCAGUGGGGAAUAUUGCACAAUGGGCGAAAGCCUGAUGCAGCGACGCCGCGUGAGGGGUGACGGCCUUCGGGUUGUAAACCUCUUUCAGCAGGGACGAAGCGCAAGUGACGGUACCUGCAGAAGAAGCACCGGCUAACUACGUGCCAGCAGCCGCGGUAAUACGUAGGGUGCAAGCGUUGUCCGGAAUUACUGGGCGUAAAGAGUUCGUAGGCGGUUUGUCGCGUCGUUUGUGAAAACCAGCAGCUCAACUGCUGGCUUGCAGGCGAUACGGGCAGACUUGAGUACUGCAGGGGAGACUGGAAUUCCUGGUGUAGCGGUGAAAUGCGCAGA
rnacentral:rRNA from 1 species